rnacentral:rRNA from 1 species
AUGGACGGGAAGCUGGACAAGAAGUGGACGCUCGUCGCCGAAAACAUGGAGCAGAUCGCCGACCUAGCCUUGUACAACGCCGAUGAUGGCAAGCUCUACUGCGGCUGCCUCAGCACAACCGGAGCCCUGCACGUGUUCCGCAUCAUCGCCAACGGCGGCCAAGGAUACAAGCUGGAGCCGCCCGUGUGGAAAAUCGACGACGCCUUCAUGCCGCCCUACGACCGCAUCUCCCUACUCACCUCCACCAAGCAACUCUUCAUCUGCCACGGCACCAUGUACCAGGUGUGGCGGAACAAUAGCAGCGCCGUCAAACUCGGAGUCGGCAGUUACCGGAUGUACGCGGACGAGAUCUUCCUACUGAGGUGCGAGUACGCCCGGCAACGCUGGGACGUGGUCAAGGAUCUGGGAGGCUGCUCCCUGUUCAUCAGCAACGACGGCAGCCCGGUGGUGGUGCAACCCGCCGCCUUCCCAGAGGUGAGACCCGAUUGCGUGUAUUGGAUCAACUGGCCGUCAUAUGUUCCCAUGGUGUGUGAUAUAGCCACCGGGGCCUCCAAGCCCUGGGUGCUUCCUCUUCCUUAUGGUGCGUGCUACAAAGGUGACUGCUGGUACUUUGGUGAUGACCAUCCAUGA